UACGAAGGGUGCAAGCGUUGUUCGGAUUUAUUGGGCGUAAAGGGCGCGUAGGCGGAUGGUUAAGUCGGGUGUGAAAUCUCAGGGCCUAACCCUGAAACUGCGCCUGAAACUGGCCAUCUAGAAUGUCGGAGGGGGAAGGGGAAUUUCGCAUGUAGGGGUAAAAUCCGUAGAGAUGCGAAGGAACACCGGAGGCGAAGGCGCCUUCCUGGACGAAUAUUGACGCUGAGGCGCGAAAGCGUGGGGAGCAAACAGGAUUAGAUACCCUGGUAGUCCACGCCAUAAACGAUGAGCACUAGAUAUUGCGGGAGAUUGACCCCCGCAGAAUCGCAGCCAACGCAUUAAGUGCUCCGCCUGGGGAGUACGGUCGCAAGAUUAAA
rnacentral:rRNA from 1 species